rfam:Pan troglodytes isolate Yerkes chimp pedigree #C0471 (Clint) chromosome X, whole genome shotgun sequence.
UAUUAGGUUGGUGCAAAAGUAAUUGUGGUGUUUGCCAUUAAAAGUAAUGGCAAAAACUGCAAUUACUUUUGCACCAACCUAAGA